rnacentral:rRNA from 1 species
ACGGAGGGAGCUAGCGUUGUUCGGAAUUACUGGGCGUAAAGCGCACGUAGGCGGCUUUGUAAGUCAGAGGUGAAAGCCUGGAGCUCAACCCCAGAACUGCUUCUGAGACUGCAUGGAUUGAGUCUAGAAGAAGUGAGUGGAAUUCCUAGUGUAGAGGUAAAAUUCGUUGAUAUUCGGAGGAACACCAGUGGUGAAGGCGGCUCACUGGACUAGAACUGACGCUGAGGUGCGAAAGCGUGGGUAGCAAACAG